AACGCGAAAGGCUCCUUCGGGGGCCGAAGUAGAGUGGCGCUCGGGUGAGUAACACGUAGGUAAUCUACCUUUGGGUGGGGAAUAACAGCCGGAAACGGCUGCUAAUACCGCAUAAUGCAGCGGCUCGACAUCGAGACAGUUGUUAAAGCGGAGGAUCCCGCAAGGGACUUCGCGCCUGAAGAGGAGCCUGCGGCGGAUUAGGUUGUUGGUGAGGUAAUGGCUCACCAAGCCUGCGAUCUGUAGCCGGCCUGAGAGGGCGGUCGGCCACACUGACACUUAAAUACGGGUCAGACUCCUACGGGAGGCAGCAGUCGGGAAUUUUGGGCAAUGGGCGCAAGCCUGACCCAGCAACGCCGCGUGAGGGAUGAAAUCCUUCGGGAUGUAAACCUCGUAAGAAUGGGAAGAAUAAGUAGGGGCGAAUACCCUCUAUGAUGACGGUACCAUUUGUAAGCUCCGGCUAACUCCGUGCCAGCAGCCGCGGUAAUACGGGGGGAGCAAGCGUUGUUCGGAUUUACUGGGCGUAAAGGGCGCGUAGGCGGUCAUGACAAGUCACUUGUGAAAUCUCCGGGCUUAACUCGGAACGGUCAAGUGAUACUGUCAGACUAGAGUGCAGAAGGGGCAACUGGAAUUCUCGGUGUAGCGGUGAAAUGCGUAGAUAUCGAGAGGAACACUGCGGCGAAAGCGGGUUGCUGGGCUGACACUGACGCUGAGGCGCGAAAGCCAGGGGAGCGAACGGGAUUAGAUACCCCGGUAGUC
rnacentral:rRNA from 1 species